rnacentral:rRNA from 1 species
UCUUAUAUCCCGAGUAGCAUGGGGCACGUGGAAUCCCGUGUGAAUCUGCGAGGACCACCUCGUAAGGCUAAAUAUUCCUGGAUGUCCGAUAGCGAAGAGUACCGCGAGGGAAAGGUGAAAAGAACCCCGGGAGGGGAGUGAAAUAGAACGUGAAAUUGCAAGCCCACAAACAGAAGAAGAACGACUUAGCGUUUUACUUCGUGCCUGUUGAAGAAUGUUCCGGCGACUUAAAGUUAGUGGCAUGGUUAAGAUAGAGAUAUUGGAGCCAUAGUGAAAGCGAGCUUGAAAAGAGCGUUAAUUGUCACUAGUUUUAGACCCGAACCCGGUUGAUCUAACCAUGGCCAGGAUGAAACUUAGGUAACACUGAAUGGAGGUCCGAACCGACUGAUGUUGAAAAAUCAGCGGAUGAGUUGUGGUUAGGGGUGAAAUGCCAAUCGAAACCGGAGCUAGCUGGUUCUCCCCGAAAUGUAUUUAGGUGCAGCGGUUAAUCUUUUAGCGUAGGGGUAAAGCACUGUUUCGGUGCGGGCUAGUAACUUGGUACCAAAUCGAGGCAAACUCUGAAUACUACGUGUAUAAUUAACCAGUAAGACUAUGGGGGAUAAGCUUCAUAGUCAAGAGGGAAACAGCCCAGAUCACCAGCUAAGGCCCCUAAAUAAUUACUAAGUGAUAAAGGAAGUGGAAGGGCUUUGACAACCAGGAGGUUUGCUUAGAAGCAGCAAUCCUUUAAAAAGUGCGUAAUAGCUUACUGGUCUAGCAAUUCUGCGCCGAAAACUUAUGGGACUAAGUAAUUUGCCGAAGCUGUGAGAUAUUAAUUUUUUAAUAUCGGUAGGGGAGCGUUCUGCGGUAGAUUGAAGUGUUAGCGAAAGCGGGCAUGGACGAAACAGAAGUGAGAAUGUCGGAUUGAGUAGCGAAAACAUUGGUGAGAAUCCAAUGCUCCGAAAACCUAAGGUUUCCUCCGCAAGGCUCGUCCACGGAGGGUGAGUCAGGACCUAAGGUGAGGCUGAGAAGCGUAGCUGAUGGACAAUAGGUUAAUAUUCCUAUACUGAUUUUUACUGGUAUCGAGGGACGAAGAAGGCUAAACUAGCCAGAGAUUGGUUACUGGUUUAAAUUUUCGAGGUGUUGAAGGUUAGUGAAAAUAACUUGAGCUGAGAAAUGAAUACAAGAUUUUAAAAAUCAAAGUAGUUGAUGUCAUACUUCCAAGAAAAGCUCGCUAUGCCUUAAGUAAAAGUCACCUGUACCUUAAACCGACACAGGUAGGUAGGUAGAGAAUACCAAGGAGCGCGGGAGAACCCUCCUUAAGGAACUCGGCAAAAUAACUCUGUAACUUCGGAAGAAAGAGUGCCUUUUAGGCUGCAAUAUCAAGUUCCAAGCAACUGUUUAGCAAAAACACAGGUCUCCGCUAAGUUGUAAAACGACGUAUGGAGGCUGACGCCUGCCCAGUGCUGGAAGGUUAAAGAAGUCGGUUAGCGUAAGCAAAGCUGGUAACUGAAGCCCCAGUGAACGGCGGCCGUAACUAUAACGGUCCUAAGGUAGCGAAA